AGGGUGAGAGAAUGGCCAUUGCCAA
rnacentral:misc_RNA from 1 species